GAGCUGGGGAAAAGUCGGUGGGAGCCCCAGGAAGCCUAGGUGAAGUUAUACUGGAUGCUACUGGAAGGGUGAACACAGCUAGGAGAGACUGAGCCUGAGUUGGGGGGUGGGGGUGAGGAGAUGACCCAGCUCCUGGGGAGACAGUCCCAGGUUCUGCAGGGCUGUGUGAUACCCUGCCUUCUGGGGCUGCACUCCAUGGCACUUCCUACUUGGGUUUUAUGGCAAGGUUCCUUAGCCCCUGAGCGGGGCACAUCUGAGCCUAUAAAACAGGCAGCUUGUCUCUCAUGGGAUCUCUGGGGAGGAAAAAAAUACUGAUAAAGCAUUUCCUAUUCUAAGAAGGAUGCCUGACAUACAGCAAGUGCUGGGGGGGACCGUGGGGAAACUGAGCAAUCACGUAGGACUACGUGGAAACACAGAUGGCCCUAACCUCUCUCCACCCCACUUCCACACUCAGCCCACGCUUCUGGUCCCACCAAACUGCCCACCUCUCUGCAAGUGCCCCCUGCCCCUUGUGGUCUCUGCUUUCAGUUAGUCUAGGUUCUCUGGAUCUGAAAUGCCCUGGCCCUUGCUUCUUGUCACCCUCCAGCCUCCUCUCCUCUAUUUAAGGAUCUCCUCCCCGCCCCCUCCCUCCCGACAGCCUUGGGGGCGGGCUGCCAGCUCCUGGCUGGGCCCUCAGCUGCACACACACCUGUGCUGUGGAAGAAAGUUCUCUGGCUCCACAGAGGGCCAGGCGAGAACGCCCAGUCCCAGCCCUAGAAGCGGGGAAUGUCUCAAUGGCCAGGAAAGGAGGCCGAAGACCGCCCUGGUUCUUCCUAUUCCUGGACCCUGACACCCUUUCAGCCAUCCCCAAAGGGACUGCGGGGUGUGGCAGCUGGCAGCAGCUGUCCAGGGCCAGGAGUCCUUCCAACUGUCACCGACAUUGACCAUCCUGUCAAGGCGUGCCACAGUCACUGCGUGAUGGACUGCUCUUGUCCCUCCACAUCCAUCCCUGCCUUUGCGAUAAAACCCUGCUUUUGGGGUGGAAAUGAAGUGGCUGCACAAUCCCACAGCCCUCCUUGGCAGCCGCGUGCGGCCAUGUGUGGAUUUCAGGAAGCCCGGAAAGGGGACAAGCGUGUUCCUCUUCCCGCCCUUUCCUGCUGCCCCUGGGCUGGAAGGCGGACAAGUGAUUGGCUGCCAUCUCUGACCACGAGACGGAGGCCACGUUGUGAGGACAGAAGAGCAACAGCUGACCACCAAGGACCAGCCCCGGAUUGCCUAUAUCAAGCAUAUGAAGACAGCUACGUCACAGAUCAGGAACUGGAAGGAGGUCCAGGCACUGUCCAUCCCAUCGAGGUCGAGGCACAGUCCAUCCCAUCUCCCUAUAAUACAGAUGAGGAAACUGAGGCCCAGGAAAGGAACAUGACUAGGGCACCCCACACGGUGUGUUCCUGGUGGUAUUUAGUUGCUGGGCUCUGAACACCCAACAGAUAUGUGAACCAGUGUUCCGGGCAAUGAGGUGGUGACAAAAAAAGCAACAGAACUCACAACAGUGCGUGGAGACGGACAGUAACUAGAUUUACUGUGGACAUCGUUUUGUUAACGUAUAAAAAUAUCGAAUCACUAUAAUUGACACCUGAAACUAGGGGGAUAGUAUAUGGCAAUGAUUCUUCAAUUUAAAAAAGCCGGGGGCGGGGUGGCACCUGGGUGGCUCAGUCGGUUGAGCGUCCGACUUCAGCUCAGGUCAUGAUCUCACGGCUCAUGAGUUCGAGCCCCGCGUCGGGCUUUGUGCUGUGCUGACAGCUGGGAGCCUGGAGCCUGGAGCCUGCUUCAGAUUCUGUGCCUCCCUCUCUCUCUGCUCCAACCCACUCGCAUUCUGUCUCUGUCUCUCUCAAAAAUAAACAAACACUUGAAAAAAUUUAAAAAAAAAAAAGAAUUCACAACUGUGUGGUACCAGCUUACGGGUAGAUAGAUAUACAAUGUGAUCCAUGGAAUGGAAUUGAGGGUCCAGAAAUAAAAUCAUGUGUUUGUGGGCAACUGAUUUUCAACCAGGAUGCCAAGACCACCCAAAUGGGGGAAGAAGGAUCUUUUAAACAAAUUACACUGGGGAAACUGGAUAGCCACGUGCCAAAGAAUAAAGUUGGACACUUGUUCUUACACCAUAUAAAAAAAAUUAACUCCAAAUGGCUCAAAGACUUCCUUAUAAGAACUAAAAUUAUAAAAUUCUUAGAAGGAAACCUCGGGAUACCUCAGAUUUGGCAAGGGAUUCUUAGGUAUGACACCAAAAGCACAAGCUAGAAAAGAAAAAAGUAAAUUGGGCUUCAUGAACACUUAAAACCUGUGUAUUUCUGAGGAUGCUAUCAAAAGAGUGAAAAGAGAACCCAAAGAAUAGAAAAUAUUUGCAAAUCAUAUAUCUGAUAAGGGACUUGUAUCUAGAAUAAAGAGCCCUUCCAACUCAUCAGUGAAAAGACACAUGACCCAAUUUUUAAAUGGGCAAAAGAUCUGAAGAGCUAUUUCUCCAAAAGAGAUAUGCAAAUGGCCCAUAAGCACAUGAAAAGAUGCUUGCCAUCCUUAGUCCGAAGGAAACACAAAUCAAAACCACGAGAUAGCCCUUGACACUCACUGGGAAGGCCGCGAUCGAAAAAUCAGGUAACAAACCUAGGGGAGGGUGCAGGGAGAUCUGAACCCUCAAACUCUUCUGGCAGGCACGUAAAACAGUGCAGCCACAUUGGAAAGCAGCCUGACAUCAAAAGUUAAACCCUAGAGUUGCCGUAUGACCUGGCAAUUUCACUCCUGGGUAUGUACCCAAGAGAAAUGAAAACAUAUGUCCACACAAAAAUGCACACACGCUAUGCGUAAUGGCCAAAAGGUGGAAACAAUCCAACUGUCUAACUGAUGAAUGGAUAAACGAAACGUGGUUUAUCUGUACAAUGGAAGGGUGUUCAGCCAUGAAAAGGAAUGGAGUGCCAUUACAUACUGCCUCAACAUGGAUGAGUCUCGAAAGCGUUAUGCCUAUUAAUAAGCAAAGGAACUCAGCCACGGAAGACUACAUCCCAUGUCAUUCCAUUUAUGAGAAAUGUCCAGAAUUGGCAAAUCUGUAGACAAAAUA